GGGGAUGGAGCUUAGCUGGCAGAGUGCUUACCUAGCAUGCAUGAGGCCCUGAGUUCAAUUCCCAGCACCACCU
rnacentral:tRNA from 1 species